rnacentral:misc_RNA from 1 species
CGCGCAGCGUAUUGUGACCCUCAAGGUCAAUACUGCAGAUAUAAAAAGUUCCCGUACGCUAUCAUAUUCGCGAUAAAGGACAUUAAAAAUUUUCCCCCUGUCAUGUUUUUUCGAAAGCCGUUUUCGAGAAAAACUCUACGCCGAUAUAUCGCGAACAUUCUGUAUAUAUAAUGCACACGGUAUACGUGUAUGCAAAAUAUAUAGUAGUUAUAUACAGGGUACAGUUGUAGUUUUUUCUGGUCAAACUUUGUCAGGAUGUUUUACGAGCAUAAACAACGAACAAACGUUACAUGAAGAUAGGUCGUUUGAUCCUUCAGUUCCCAUAGAUACCAAUAGGUGCCAUUUUUUAUUUGUUUUAUAACAAAUAUCAGCGAGGUGACAAUUUAUGUCCUCUAAUGUCUUCUAAACUAUUUACC